rnacentral:lncRNA from 1 species
ACUAAGCAAGAUCCCUUCGUCUGGCUUCAACGGCUUCUUUUCGAUUGGCUGGAGCUCGUUAAACAUGAUGCUAGCAUCUUCUCCAAACACUUCGAGCAAGUGUGUGCCUAUGUCUCUGUUGAUUUUGUUUGUUAAGGAUGUGAAGUACUGCAGUAAUGAUUCAAAUGGAAUCUCUUUCGUCUUGUAAGAGUCCUGAUUAACGCCGUUUUCUUUUUCUUUUUCAGGGCCUAUUUGCUCUGUUUCUUUGUCUAUAAGCCCUCCACUGUGGCAAGAAUCAGACAGGAUAGUAAAGGCUGCUCCUUUCGGAACACGAUUCACAAGCUGCCUGAAAUCAGCACCUGCCGAAAAAGGUAUCAAUCAUAUUGUUUAAUUAUUCAAGUUCGUAAUUUCAUUUUUUUUAAUCAAAAUAUGAUUUACGAAAAACUUACUGGUGAUGAGAUUGAAAUCACAAGGUACAAUUGCUUCCUCUUGCUUGGAUGAAUUUUUAUUGAUCAAAGUUCCAUGGCCAGAGUAAUGGAAAAACAAGGUGUCUCCUUUUUCUGCCCGAUCG